rnacentral:tRNA from 1 species
AGUUACAUCCUGUUUUAUAAACAGAGAUUCUGAAUUUUCAUCAAAAAGCAAAGAAUAUUGAAAACUGAUCCUGAAAUAGUAUUUGAGAGAAAAAAAAAAUAGCUACAUAAUAUUUCUUCAUUGGGGCUUCCCUAGUGGCUCAGAAGGUAAAUAAUCUGUCUGCAAUACAGAAGACCCAGGUUUGAUCCCUGGGUAGGGAAGAUCCCCUGGAGAAGAGAAUGGCUACCCACUGCAGUAUUCUUCCCUGGAAAAGCCCAUGGACAGAAGAGCUUGGCGGGCUACAGUCCAUGAGGUCACAAAGUGUCAGGCAGAGCUGAGUGACUAACACUUUCACGCCUUAAUUUACUCAGCUCCUAUUCUUCAAGUGUGUGAAGGGGGAAUCAUCACAAGCGAUCUAAGCAGUACGGUGAAGAAGGUCUCCGUCAGCCUGUGUUCUCCUACUGCGGGGACCAAACAAGCGUGAACCGAAGAGGACGCUUGCACGCACCUGCUUCUGGAACUGGCAACAGAAAGAUCUUCUGUGCUGCCAAUGACAGGUUUCCCAUCAGCUUGCCAAUUUGCUUUGUCUUCACAGCCUGGCAAAAUAUAGCUAUUGGCAGGAAAGUG